UAGAGAGAGCGUCUUGUGGCUGCGGCCUGCCCCUCAGCCUCCUCCGCGCGGUUACCCCUGUACCCGCCGCCAUCCGUCCUGGCGCUCCGGAUGAGUCAAUGAGGGGCAGGGCCCGAGGAGUGGUCUUCCCAAGAACCCCUGGUGGCCUCCCAAGGCCGGUGCUGUGUACCUCCUCCCCGACAAAAGGGGAAACUGAGGCCCCGAGGGGAGUGGGAAGAGCCGGCUGGACGUCAGGCCCAGCCGCUGGUGCAGUGGUCCGUCCCCUCUGCCGGGGUGGGCCCCUCGGGUUUCGCGUGUCCUCGGGAAAGAGACUGGCGGGCCUCGUGGGCUGUGCGGCUAUCCUGGAGACAGAUGACAGCUCUCCCUUGGAUGGCUUUGCUGGUUCCGCACCAGCCAGCGCCCCCAUUUUUCCUGCAGCACCCUGAUCUGCACUCCCUGAGGGGCUCCCACUGUCCGCGGUGUGAGGAUGUCCCUGGUCCACUGUGUGCAGAGGCAUGGGAGUUGUCAUGUUGGGAACAUGCUAGACCUCAGUAUCCUUGAGCUUGAAGAAAGACGACAGAACACUGGAGACCAAGUACUUACAGCCUUCUGCUCUGUGGCCCCUCCUCACUCCAGGGAUGCUGCCUUGGGUCUGGAAACUGUUAGAGGAAACCCCAAGAGGUGCAGGCACUGAGCCUCUCAGGACAAUGACCUGGGGUCCCAGCUCCCCUGGAGGGGCCUCCUCAUGAUUGUUUGGGGGUUGAUCACAGACCAAGAGUGACGAGUGAUGUCACCCUGUGACUCAUGGCUGGACCUUCUUGCCCCUAUUGUCUCAGCACAACAUUAUUCGACUUUUCCCUCAGCGUGGGUGGGCAGAGGAAAAGCCCUGUGGCUCUGGGGACUUGGGAUCCAGAGUUGAAGACCCUUCAGCUGGCUCUGCCCUGCCAGUGCCACAGAGUGCCAUGGCCCAGGAAGACAGGUUUUCUUCCAUCUAGGCCAGGCCAUCCAGUGGCCAUCCUCCGUGUCCUCCCGCCUCCUCCUGGUGUGACUUCUGAAAACCAAGAAUUUGUUCCUGUUGACUUUUUCUGUGCUAUGGACCAUUGUCCUCUCACCCACUCAAUAAAUCUUGAAACAUGC
rnacentral:lncRNA from 1 species